CCCUACGGGGUGCAGCAGGGGGAUCAUUCUGCAGGAACUUGAAAAUCGUCGCGAAUGGAAGGUCUUUCAGUGCCGAGGUGAGGCGAUGCAGCCGGCGGAUGCGGACGUAGUUGAAGGUUUAUUGAAAAAUUUAGCUCAGGCGCAAGUUUUGCAUUUUACCCACGAUGCGCCUUCAGAGUUGGAUUUAGAGAAUUUCGGUCUUAAACAGCCUCGGCUGACGGUACGUAUGGUCGGACAAGGCGUUGAGGUGUGCGUUUAUUUUUCGGACCUUGUGCGCGGCAAAUGUUACGCAAAAAUUAAAGACCAACCUUUUAUUUACGAAGUUUCGCCGAUGUUGUUGAACAUGCUGUCGUUAGAUCCCAUUUUUUAUUACGAUCGGCACUUGAAUGUUGUACCGGCCGGCGCGAAAGUGGUCAACGUAAGGCUGUUGGCGGGGGGGC
rnacentral:rRNA from 1 species